UUAGUACAAUUUACUCAAAGAACCGUAAAAUUUAGAAAUCGCGUAUAUCGAGUAUGGCGUAUAUCGGGGAAUACCUGAAAUCAAGUUUGCAAGUGGUAGGACGCGUCGAUGCGUGCUCGUUUUUUCUCUCGUGGAACCAGUACGGAAAAAAACUAUUUGAAAAUCGUAACACACGCACGAACGAAAGUGAGCACGGACCACGAUAGAAACAAUAUUCAAUUGGUUGGAGUGUCGAAAACAACAGAACAGGAGAGGAAAGAAAUCAGGAACGACCAUUCAACGCGAUAGCGCCGGAGAGGCGGCAGGAAGGUAGGGACGAUCAUCCAGCACGCUAGCGCAGCACCUGGGAGCAGCGAGGGGGAGGCAAGCAGGAAGAAUUUUUAACGCGUGCACACCAUUCGACGAAGACAACGCUGGAUGAAAGGAAGAACG